CGGCGGCCGGCGGUACCCUCGAAGUGUUCUUGAACUGUGUGAGAUUGCGUUGAUUUAAGACAAGCUAUUGCCCACUUAUGCAUCAUUUUCAGACUGACCCUAGGACCUCUCCGGCGAGAGAUGAGAUCGAUACUGACCAGGUUACAGAGGUCCAGUUGAAGGCGUCCCCUUACUUCACCCGAGAGGUUGAAUGCAGGUUAGGCAGAGGUCGCCUUAGAGAAGCAACGCCUUCUCCUCAUGAAUACUCUAGGCCUGCAGAUCCUGGUAAUGCAGCGCGCAGGUCAAAUGAGAUACAAUCCAGGUCGACACAGGGGACACCACGGGAUAUGAACUCGGCGCCGGACAUCUUGAAAGCCAGCAGACGGUCGUCAUCAUAAAAUUAUCCAGCAAGUUUGUCUCCAAGCGUCUUCCAAGCUGGAAUAAAGAAUUCAGCGUUGCCAAGUCGAUGUUCCUGCUCUCCGACUUUCAG